rnacentral:lncRNA from 1 species
GUCCUGACCAGCAUGACCUCCAGGGAUGGCAGCUCACAGGAGGCUCACAUUCCUGCGUGCCCAGCACAGCGACCCUGCCUCACUGACUUUCAUUUACUCCCAAGAGAAAGGGACCAUGUUCACCGCCCAGGAGCUGAAGCAGAUCUAUGCAUUCAUUCCCAAAAGGAUGGUGACCUCCAUCUCAGGACACACUGGGUGUCAGCAGUGGGUGACUCUGUUGCCCACCAAAGGUGCCAUGGAGCUCCCAGCUGUGUGGACGUGACUGCUGUGGGCCCAUCAGAGAGGCCACGCCGCCCUGGCCACGUGCUGGCCCAGCCUCUCAGGUACAACGGGCCAUGGUGGGAGGUGGGCCUCUCAUUCUGAUGCACCCGGCCACCACCUCAGGGUGGCAGUGGUCAUGAGGAGGAACAGCAGGGAGGAAAGGGGAGGCCAGAUGGGACCUGAGGCCACAGGGAGCGGGGAGGUGGCAGAAGGUGGAACCACAGGUUUGCUGAGCCUCCAAGGCCACCAAACUUCACCUACAAAACAGCUGCAAAGACCAAAUGACUGAAAAAUCCAGGCCUGCAGCCCUCUUCGCUGCCUCCGGCUCGUGGAGAUGACAGGAGGCCACCAGACCUCCCAGCGGGUGCUGGGAAGCAGGGCACCCAGCAAGGGGAAGGUUCUGUGGGUUGCUGUAAAGAUAUGGGGCUUUGCUUCAGGUUCAGGGAAAUCAGCAGAGUUGAG